AUGACUUGGAACACAUCUGUGUAUACUUGUUUUCUUGUUUUUCUCACUUGCUUUGCAUCAGUGAUAAGUAAUAAUAACCAAGUCGAUCCAAAGGCAAUUCUUCUCAGGUUUCCUGAUUGCGAUACAAAUAACAAAUCAAUCCAGUGCGUCAUAGAUGAUACGGAUUGCAUACAAUAUGCAC